UACGUAGGGUCCGAGCGUUGUCCGGAGUUACUGGGCGUAAAGGGCGCGCAGGCGGCGGUGCUGGCCCGGCGUGAAAGCCCCCGGCUCAACCGGGGAGGGUCGUCGGGGAUCGCACCGCUUGAGGGCGGUAGGGGCUGGUGGAAUGCCUGGUGUAGUGGUGAAAUGCGUAGAGAUCAGGCGGAACACCCGUGGCGAAGGCGGCCAGCUGGGCCGACCCUGACGCUGAGGCGCGAAGGCGUGGGGAGCGAACGGG
rnacentral:rRNA from 1 species